rnacentral:lncRNA from 1 species
GCCGACAUUUGUUGUCUUCUGUUUGGGCGACUCCGGGCUCCGGCCUGGCGAGUGGAACCCCGGCAUUCUCAUGCCCCUUGCCCCCGCCCCCGCCGCCGAAGCGUCACGCGGACCCGGCUCGGGGAGAGAACCAGGGGAAACGCAGAAGUCGGCUGCUGCAUUUGGGUUGCAACCGUAGCGCACCUGUGCAAUCCGGCUUCGGCGCCAGAAACGACCAGAACGCCGACUCGCCAGCCCCUCUCGAGAUCCCAGGGGCGCCUCGCAAGUUCGCCUCAGUUUACUGCCGGGGGAGGGUGGUGGGAGAGCUCUCCCUCCGGCAGCUGCAAAACUCAGCUGGCUCCCCUGGAAAGGGGAGGGAGCUCCCGCCUAAGUGACCCAGAGGGGUCCCCGGGGGUCACGCGGCCGCGGCGGGGGCGGGGGCUGGGGGUGCUCGCGGCCCCCGCGGAUGGAGGUCCCACUUCGGUGGCCACACGCGACCCCCCCCGCCCGGCCCCAGCACCCACGCGGACGCAGCGCGAGGGUGGGGAGACGUCCGGGGCUCCCCAGGACGCGGAGCCCCCGAGCCCCCGAGCCCCCGCGGGGUGGGGGGCAGGGUCCCGGGGGAGGGGCCGGGGACGCGCAGGAAACUUACCUCACCCGGGCAGCAUUCGGGCGCCUCCGCCGUCGAGACCAGUUGCGCCACAGUCUGCAAGUUCUCUGGAUGUAGUUGCCUCCCCGCGGCGCCGGGAGCUCGGUGCGGGCGAGGCGGGAGGGGUCGGGGGGCGGCGGGCGGGGGCGGGGCGCGGCGCGGCGGGGGAGCCGGCAGGUGCCGGGCCGGAGCCGCGGGGCCAAACUCGCCCGGGACGCGCCUCGGCGGGGGCGCGCGGCUGCGAGUGUGCAAUGCGCGCGCCGCGGCGAGUGUGUGUGUGUGCGCGCGCGUGUCCCCGCUUUCCCCUUCCCUCCCCGCCAGUCCUCCGUCCGCAGCGAGCAGCGAACGGCGGCCGGAGCCCCGGGGCGGGAGGAGCAGCGGCGCCCCCCGGGCUGGGGCUGGGGCUGGGGCUGGGUCCGGGUCCGGGUCCGGGUCCGGGUCCGGGUCCGGGUCCGGGUCCGGGUCCGGGUCCGGGUCCCCGGCUGGGUCCCCGCGCCGUGCGCGCCGGAGUCGGAGCGAGGCGCGGAGAGAGCAGUCUGCACGGCGGCGGCCGCGGCGCGGGGAGGCUGCAGGCCCCGCCCGCCCGCCGCCCAGGCUCUUCCCCUUUUCUCUCCACCCCCUUGCUCCAUCCCCGCACGCCCUGCAGGGAAGCCAGACCGGUUUGCAGCGGCGGCGGCGGCGGCGGCGGGGUCCGCCGCAGUCGGUGCCUCGGGGAGCCGGGGCUCGGGCGGGUUCUCCACGGUUCCAGGGCUGGCCGGGGCCUCGCGGCGCUUCCAAAGUCCUGCAGCCCCGCUGCGCAGAGCGGUGCUUGGGGUAGGGCAUCCUCCCUCCCCCGGGCCCCUGGACUCUGCAGCGCCUGGUCGCCUGCCCGCUGGACUCUGCUUGCCGCGAAGCCCGCAUUUAAGGACAGGGGGGCCCCGCCACUAGGAAGGGACAGCUAA